CUGGGGGCUCAACCCCAGCCCUGCAGUGGGUACGGGCAGACUAGAGUGCGGUAGGGAGAUUGGGAAUUCCUGGUGUAGCGGUGGAAUGCGCAGAUAUCAGGAGGAACACCGAUGGCGAAGGCAGAUCUCUGGGCCGUAACUGACGCUGAGGAGCGAAAGCAUGGGGAGCGAACAGGAUUAGAUACCCUGGUAGUCCAUGCCGUAAACGUUGGGAACUAGAUGUAGGGGCCAUUCCACGGUUUCUGUGUCGCAGCUAACGCAUUAAGUUCCCCGCCUGGGGAGUACGGCCGCAAGGCUAAAACUCAAAGGAAUUGACGGGGGCCCGCACAAGCGGCGGAGCAUGCGGAUUAAUUCGAUGCAACGCGAAGAACCUUACCAAGGCUUGACAUAUACCGGAAACGUCCAGAGAUGGUCGCCCCGCAAGGUCGGUAUACAGGUGGUGCAUGGUUGUCGUCAGCUCGUGUCGUGAGAUGUUGGGUUAAGUCCCGCAACGAGCGCAACCCUCGUUCUAUGUUGCCAGCACGUUAUGGUGGGAACUCAUAGGAGACUGCCGGGGUCAACUCGGAGGAAGGUGGGGAUGACGUCAAAUCAUCAUGCCCCUUAUGUCUUGGGCUUCACGCAUGCUACAAUGGCCGAUACAAAGGGCUGCAAUACCGUAAGGUGGAGCGAAUCCCAAAAAGUCGGUCUCAGUUCGGAUUGAGGUCUGCAACUCGACCUCAUGAAGUCGGAGUCGCUAGUAAUCGCAGAUCAGCAACGCUGCGGUGAAUACGUUCCCGGGCCGUGUACACACCGCCCGUCAAGUCAUGAAAGUCG
rnacentral:rRNA from 1 species